UACGUAGGGGCCUAGCGUUGUCCGGAAUUAUUGGGCGUAAAGAGCUCGUAGGCGGUUCGGCAAGUCGGAUGUGAAAUCUCCACGCUUAACGUGGAGGGGCCAUUCGAAACUGCUGUGACUCGAGUCCGGUAGGGGAGUGUGGAAUUCCUGGUGUAGCGGUGAAAUGCGCAGAUAUCAGGAGGAACACCGGUGGCGAAGGCGGAUCUCUGGGCCGAUACUGACGCUGAGGAGCGAAAGCGUGGGGAGCGAACAGG
rnacentral:rRNA from 1 species